AUUUGUCCCAUCCGCGCGCCGCGCCCGCACCCAACGCAACCCAAUCCCCUCGUCCCGCACGCCGUGCACACUCCGGUCCCCUCAUCCCGCACGAACCCUAGAAGAGAGAUAGGAAGAUGAGAGGGAGAGAAAGGGGAGAGGAGAGGAGAGGGAGGUCCGGCAGCGGACGGGAGAAGGUGACCGGCCAGCGUCGGCCUACACCGGCGAGGCGUCGGCCUGCGCCCCGCCUCCUUGCUGCUCCGUUUACUCCACCGAUUUCUCUCCGGCUGCCGGCCUCCCAGCCCCCCCACCUCGCAAUGGCAUUUCCUAAGGAUCAGCGCGAGCAAGGCCAACAGGCGGAAGGAGCGGAUCGUGGCCUCGCACGCUGGCUCGUCAUCUGCUUUGGCACCUUUCGGAUCCGCGCUGCUGCGUGCGAUGGUUCUAAAUCAGUGCAGGACGUCGCCGCCGGAUAGUAGGGCCGACGGAUUCUUCGCAUCGGGGGCUGGCUGGCAGGGGAGGGUCAGGAGGCCGGCAUGACUUGCUAACGAGUAGAGGUUGAUUAUCUUGACAUCCUCUCCUGCGUCCACUGUCGCGCCGUUCUGCCUUCGGCGAUUAAUUGAGCCUACUUCUCCUUUCCAGGUCGGGAUGGAGCAGCAGGCAUAGAUGAAAUCUACUGCCAAUUUCUAUUGGUUGCGGCAUCUUCCGCUGAGUAACUCUACAAAACAGCCUGCCAGCAUUGAUUCUUGCAAUAAAAAAAUAAGUCUGGCAUCAUUCAUAAUAAGCUUAUAGACUUAGAUAAUUUCUUAAUCCUGCACUGGUUCUCACCAGUGAGAUUGUAGAUGUGGUAUUUUGAGAAUACCAGUGUAAUUCACAGGUCCAAAAGCUCCAUUUCUUAAUGUGUUUUUGCAGAAUGCUACCAGUAAUGUUUUUCUUUUCCUUAAUGUACAAACAUAUCUAUUAGAUAUGAUUUUGGAUCUGAACUUUUCCCUGUCUGCAGCUCACAUUGUGGUAUGGUCAUGGUACAGCAAAAGGAAAAGAUGUUUAAACUUUUUUUGGGCGUCAUACAUGAAAAGUACCUUUAUUUCCAUUGAGCUUAAUUACUAAGAAAAUGUUACCACUAUUUCCUUACUAAUAAACCUAAAUGUUCUGAAAGUUCGGUCUCUUGCUCUCUUUGCUUAUGAAUCGGACACUUUACCUUUCUUUAAUCCUUACACGGUUCCACCUCGCUUUGACUGCAUACUUUGAUGGUGUUUGUAGGUAUGGAGAGUGGUCAUAAUGUUACUUAAAGGAGGCCUCAACUUGCACCAAAUACAUGGGCAUGUGCAACAGCAACUUAUGUAGGUGAGUAGGUAUUUAUGCUUAGUUUUGACUUGAGUACAAAAAAGAGCUUGCUGACAUAUACAAGAGAAUAGGCUACCCAUUCUUGAAUUGAAUCAGAUUGGUAGACUAAACCACGGUGGUGUACUCUUUGCUGCUGAGUUAUUACAAUCCAACCGAAAAUAAGGGGAAAACAAACAUGAUCCUGCCAUUUAAAUUAUGUCAUAUUUGUGGAGAAAAGUUGCAUAGUUAGCUAUUGCAAAAUACUAUCGACCCAGUUUUUGUUCAAUAGACGUCCCUUCUUCGAAUGUAGCUUGAACCUGCGCAAGGGCAUGGUAGCAUGCUCAUUCUAUUUUUUUACUAAGGUGGUUACACUUUCCUACUUUUUGCUGAAAGAGAGUCAAUUUAGUCAUGAGCUAUAGCGGCGUUUCUGUUUACUGAAUUUCGUUUUGCAGUUCCCUUCUCUUGAAUGUUUAUUCAAAUGUGCCUAAUAUUUUUUUCAUGUUUCUAAAAACUAAUAAAUGCUGCUCUCAAAUCAGUUAGGAGGAUGAAGGUAGUAGCUUACUGAACUCUCAUUUCUGGAAAAAUCUGGAGAUGUCUUGGUAUGGAGUUUCAUGAUCAACUUGCUCCAGCAUAGUUAGUCUCUCUAGACUAAUUGUUUGUCACUAUCUAUUCUAUACAUGUGUUUGAUUGGUUGUGCAAACAUGCAUGCAUUGGUCUGUGUGGAAAUUGCUUUAUCCGGUCUGUUCUAUAGCAAUGUUUCUAGUGGCUGUUUAGCACAUAUAUUUAGAUAGUUGCAUACGCAUGCUUCGUUCUGCCAGAAAAUUAUCUUCCCUGAUAUGUUUUCAGAUGCUAUUUGUAUACAUGUUUGUCUUUGUCAUCUUUAUGUUGAGUUGUGGGUUCCAAAUAUAUUUAUGAUGAUCGUUUGCAUGGUGGGUCAUGUCAGCGAUGUGCGUUGCAUAUUCAUGAUUCAAACUCUUUGUUGGGUAUAUAUCUAUAUGAAGUUGUUUUUGAAUGGCCCAUGAUUCGUUUUUUAUUAGCAUUUUAGUUUAAGCAUUUCUCCAGAGAAUCUUGAUAUCCAACUGUAUAUAUAUCCAGUCAUGUUUUUUUACUCUGACUGAUUUCUUUUUUUGUUUUGUUUUACAGUUUGUACAAUCUCUAAAGAUGGUGCUCCAUUGUUCUGUUAAUCAAGAUUUGUUCCCUCCUUUCUCACUAGCUGAUACGUGAUGACCGUUUGCAUGGGGGGUUAUGUUAACUAUAUUCUAUUCAUGAUUCAAACUGUUUGUUGGGUAAUUUAGUUUAGACAUUGUGUCCUGAGAAUCUUGAUGUCUAGCUGUAUCGGUACAAUAUAGUUUGCGAUUUUUCCCUCUGAAUUUAUAUAUCCACUCAGGUUGGGAUAGGUUAUGAGUAUUCUUAGUGUGGAAACAGCGGCAGUGCUGCACUUUCAUCAAAUGAUGAUAUGCCAACCUUGCGCCAUUUGGCUCUAUGUUACCCGAAUAAGAUAACAAAAUACACAUGCUCAAGUAUAUAUUUUCAAUACCCCCCUGAUGAUGCCUCAUUUCUUCAGAAUUUGAGGCUGUUCUUGAUAUGCCAGGUAGGUCCGGCUAUCGAGUCAACAAUUAUAUUUUGUACUGUGUGAUGAUACAUUAAUAAUCACACUUGAAUGUGUUACCUAAACCUGUCUUGCUUUUGUAUUUCAUCCUCCUUUGAACCAUCCAAUGACUUGUUCACUACAAAUGAUAAGUGUGAGGUGUACAGAAACCUGCACCUUAUAUUCCUGUCUUGCUUUUGUAUUAUAUCCCCCUUUGAACCAUCCGAUGACUUGUGCACUACAAACGAGAAGUGUGAGGUGUACAGAAACCUGCACUUCAUAUUUCUUACAUUCCUGUUUUAUUUAAUGUCUGAGCCUCUUUAUAUUGCUUACAUGUGUGAUUUAUCUAAUCUCUGAGCAAGUGUGAAUGUUUAUAAUUGGGUUAAUAAGCCCAGUUGUUUGAAGAAGCAAUUUGCAUUUCAGAUUUUAGGAUUGUACUAAUUCUUCUAUCCAUUUUUGAUUUGCCCCUGCCAUUGUAGAAGUAUGAGUGGGUUGACUUUUCUUGACGUGUAUUUUAUACAACGAGCAACUACCUUGCGCCGUCUUGCAGCCACCAACAACCCCAUGACCCUGCAUCAGGUCAAAAAAAUAUUCAAUAAUUAUUUCUUAUGCAGGGUCAUUGAAUUGUUGGCUUCAGACAUACUGUACUGUUGGGCUGCAAGCGUACUUCAGUUCUAAACUUAUCCCUUUUCCCUUCAUUUUUCUAAGACUGUAGUGUUGGGCAUUAAGUAGGAGUAGUUACUUAUACUAAGGAGCAGAUAUGUAUGACAUGUUAAUUUCACUUAUUUUUGGAACGAAGGUCUCACUUCAUUUAUAUUAGUCCUUGACGUCUGUGUUCUUGAUUGUGCAAAAUUGUUCCUUUCUGGGUAGAUGAAAGUCCAGAUUCCACUAAAGGAAGAUUCAGUAGGCUUUCUGUUACAUGUUGCUAAAAGUAAAUGAAUCGAAUUCUUUCUGUUUUGGUUCAGGACAAAUUUGAUUUUGGGAAGACAAAGGUCUGACAAGGAUGAGAAUGGGAUACCAGAUUACACCGACGGAGGCUCGGACAUGGAUCUGCUCCUGCUCUCAGCGGGAAUACUGGAUGUUCUUGAAGCUUUGCCAUACACACGUGCUACUUUUGGCACUUGCGUGGGCUCCUGUUUGUGUCAAUGCAAUUUGCAUCUGUCAGCGGAUUAUGGCGACCUUGGUUAUUGGCCUACAGGGUGCUCCACCGAUGGUGAAAAUACCUCACAGGAUGAUGUUGGAUAUUAUUCUACACAUUUCGGGCCUACCGGUGGCUGAGUAUCGAAGCAAAAUGUGACAGUGGCAUGAUGUGGAUGAAUAUAAUUUCCAUACAUCAACAUUAUCUUUUGGAGAUAAAAUAGCCGUAUGGCUAUUACAUGAGACCAUGUCAGAAGACCCUGCUGCUAUGGAAGCAAAAUGAUUCAUGAAAUCUGCGGUGAAAACAGAGAUAAGAUACUACAAUUACAGCAGCAUUGAGAAAUCAAGGACACGAAAUGAGUCUGAAAAAUGCUAUGGGCUAAUUCGUUGUAGCUAGGCGAUGUGUGGUGGAAGCUGUACUCACAGGAAGACUAUCUUGCUAUGUAUAAACCAUGUUCUACGAUUCACUUUUGUUAUGCAUAUUUACUUUCCAGUUUUAGGACUGAAAUCCAUCCAUUUUAAUGAAUUUGGUUGUAUGGGCAUUACCUAUUUGACUUAGGCUUGCUUCAUCACAUAUAGACUGCUUUUCUUUUCCCCACUGCUUGUAUGACCUAAAACUAUCAUGUAUAUGAGGCAAGUUAUUAGCAAUGUUUCACAUUUUCUUA